UACGUAGGGGGCAAGCGUUGUCCGGAUUUAUUGGGCGUAAAGAGCUCGUAGGCGGUUCCGUAAGUCGUGAAGUCAAAUCUCUGGGCUCAACCCAGAAUCGCUUCCGAUACUGCGGCGACUGGAGUCCGGUAGGGGAGUGUGGAAUUCCUGGUGUAGCGGUGAAAUGCGCAGAUAUCAGGAGGAACACCAACAGCGAAGGCAGCACUCUGGGCCGGUACUGACGCUGAGGAGCGAAAGCAUGGGGAGCGAACAGG
rnacentral:rRNA from 1 species